CAGCCCUGGCGUGGGAGGGUGACUGGCGAGAGGACAUGUGUUCAUGGUGCCUGUGUCCUUCAUAACUUGGGUCACAGCAGUUUCCAACAAGAAAGAGAACUGAAACAACCAGGGAAUUCCCUGGCAAGGAGAAGUCCUGCCCAGUCUGCAUCUUUCAGAAGCCAGGAGGAAUGCCCCAGGUUUGUGGGUAGGAGUAUGCAUACACAGUGCUGGUUGUUGGCUUUCCGGAGGCAGAUGGGAGCUGGAAGUCUCACGAAGGGAGAGUAAGAGCCCGAAGGGAACACUGAACUCCACUGUGUGGGAGCUUGAGGGGCCUGUGCUGCCCAUGCCGAGUGUCCACCAUCUCACACUGCUUCUAACACCUUCAAGCCAUCUCCUGAAUCUGGAAUAGUCAUCAUGAGCUGGAGGCUUCCUCAGAAGAACCCUAAAAUCAAGGGGGAUUCUGGUGCCAAGAAAAAUAGCCCAACCCAGCUUCACAGCUGUGAGCCUCCAAUGCGCCCCAGGAAGCUGCCAUCACCAUGGGUAGCGCGACCUGGCUUGAUUUUGCCAAAACAAAGGAAAAUUCCUCCAGCAAUUUCUGUGAAUUUGUUUUGCAAAACUGAAUUGUCUGCUUUUAAUUCCCCUAUACCAAUUAAAUAAAAAUUGGAAUUUAAAAUCCAGUGAAUGACAGAAACCUCACUUUGGAGUGGAUGACAGACCCCACGCAACCUGGGGUCUGGGGUAGAGAAGUGAGAUGCUGGGAACUUCCAGGGAGUGGCGGCUUUGGUGGCAGGCUCCCUAGGUUUUGGGGCUCCUGGACCAUCCUUAUGUGUACAUGUGCUCUGAACCCAUGGGACUAAUAGCUGACCACGAACAGAACAGCAGCGAG
rnacentral:lncRNA from 1 species